UACGUAGGGUGCGAGCGUUAAUCGGAAUUACUGGGCGUAAAGCGUGCGCAGGCGGUUUUGUAAGCCAGAUGUGAAAGACCCGGGCUUAACCUGGGAAUGGCAUUUGGGACUGCAAGGCUGGAGUGUGGCAGAGGAGACUGGAAUUCCUGGUGUAGCAGUGAAAUGCGUAGAUAUCAGGAGGAAUACCGAUGGCGAAGGCAGGUCUCUGGGCUGACACUGACGCUCAUGCACGAAAGCGUGGGGAGCAAACAGG
rnacentral:rRNA from 1 species